rnacentral:rRNA from 1 species
GAUGAACGCUGGCGGCGUGCCUAAUACAUGCAAGUCGAGCGAAUGGAUUAAGAGCUUGCUCUUAUGAAGUUAGCGGCGGACGGGUGAGUAACACGUGGGUAACCUGCCCAUAAGACUGGGAUAACUCCGGGAAACCGGGGCUAAUACCGGAUAACAUUUUGAACCGCAUGGUUCGAAAUUGAAAGGCGGCUUCGGCUGUCACUUAUGGAUGGACCCGCGUCGCAUUAGCUAGUUGGUGAGGUAACGGCUCACCAAGGCAACGAUGCGUAGCCGACCUGGGAGGGUGAUCGGCCACACUGGGACGGGGACACGGCCCAGACUCCUACGGGAGGAAGCAGUAGGGAAUCUUCCGCAAUGGACGAAAGUCUGACGGAGCAACGCCGCGUGAGUGAUGAAGGCUUUCGGGUCGUAAAACUCUGUUGUUAGGGAAGAACAAGUGCUAGUUGAAUAAGCUGACACCUUGACGGUACCUAACCAGAAAGCCACGGCUAACUACGUGCCAGCCGCCGCAGUAA